AGUGGCAAACGGGUGAGUAACGCGUAGACAACCUGCCGUAAAGAUGGGGACAGCAGUCCGAAAGGACUGCUAAUACCGAAUGUUGUGGAACUUCCGCAUGGGAGCUCCACUAAAGAUGGCCUCUACUUGUAAGCUAUCGCUUUACGAUGGGUCUGCGUCUGAUUAGCUAGUUGGUGGGGUAACGGCUUACCAAGGCGACGAUCAGUAGCCGGUCUGAGAGGAUGAACGGCCACAUUGGAACUGAGACACGGUCCAGACUCCUACGGGAGGCAACAGUGGGGAAUCUUCCGCAAUGGGCGCAAGCCUGACGGAGCAACGCCGCGUGAGUGAAGAAGGGUUUCGACUCGUAAAGCUCUGUUGUCGGGGACGAAUGUGAGGACGGCGAAUAGCCGUUUUCAAUGACGGUACCUGACGAGGAAGCCACGGCUAACUACGUGCCAGCAGCCGCGGUAAUACGUAGGUGGCGAGCGUUGUCCGGAAUUAUUGGGCGUAAAGGGAGCGCAGGCGGGAGAUCAAGUCUAUCUUAAAAGUGCGGGGCUCAACCCCGUGAGGGGAUGGAAACUGGUCUUCUUGAGUGCAGGAGAGGAAAGCGGAAUUCCUAGUGUAGCGGUGAAAUGCGUAGAUAUUAAGGAGGAACACCAGUGGCGAAGGCGGCUUUCUGGACUGUAACUGACGCUGAGGCUCGAAAGCGUGGGGGAGCGAACAGGAUUAGACAACCCCUGGUAGUCCACGCCGUUAAACGAUGAAUGCUAGGUGG
rnacentral:rRNA from 1 species